rnacentral:snRNA from 1 species
AUACUUACCUGGCAGGGGAGAUACCAUGAUCAAGAAGGUGGUUCACCCGGGCGAGGCUCAGCCAUUGCACUCCGGUUGCGCUGACCCUGCGAAUUCCCCAAAUGUGGGAGU